rnacentral:snRNA from 1 species
CACAUAUACUAAAAUUGGAACGAUACAGAGAAGAUUAGCAUGGCCCCUGCGCAAGGAUGGUACGCAAAUUCGUGAAACGUUUCAACUGGAA